AGCUUUGCGCAGUGGCAGUAUCGUAGCCAAUGAGGUUUAUCCGAGGCGCGAUUAUUGCUAAUAGAAAUAUAGAAAAAUAAGAGUACUUUGAAAGGAAAGACAAUUGUAUGAAAACUGCAAUUCCUUCAAAACAUUCUGU
rfam:Canis lupus familiaris chromosome X, whole genome shotgun sequence.